rnacentral:rRNA from 1 species
AUACUUUUAUUGAGAGUUUGAUCCUGGCUCAGGACGAACGCUGGCGGCGUGCCUAAUACAUGCAAGUCGAACGCAUUUCUUUU